ensembl:snRNA U6 U6 spliceosomal RNA
GUGCUGGCUUUGGCAGCGCAUACACUAAAAUUGGACCGAUACUGAGAAGAUUAGCAUGGUCUCUGUGCAAUAAUGACAGGCAAAUUUGUGAAGUGUUCCAUAUUUUG